GGGGGCUGCUCGGAGUGCAGACGGGUGAGUAACACGUGGGAACGUGCCCUUUGGUUCGGAACAACACAGGGAAACUUGUGCUAAUACCGGAUAAGCCCUUACGGGGAAAGAUUUAUCGCCGAAGGAUCGGCCCGCGUCUGAUUAGCUAGUUGGUGGGGUAACGGCCCACCAAGGCUACGAUCAGUAGCUGGUCUGAGAGGAUGAUCAGCCACACUGGGACUGAGACACGGCCCAGACUCCUACGGGAGGCAGCAGUUAGGAAUCUUGGACAAUGGGCGCAAGCCUGAUCCAGCCAUGCCGCGUGAGUGAUGAAGGCUUUAGGGUUGUAAAGCUCUUUCAGCGGGGAAGAUAAUGACGGUACCCGCAGAAGAAGCCCCGGCUAACUUCGUGCCAGCAGCCGCGGUAAUACGAAGGGGGCUAGCGUUGCUCGGAAUCACUGGGCGUAAAGCGCACGUAGGCGGGUCUUUAAGUCAGGGGUGAAAUCCUGGAGCUCAACUCCAGAACUGCCUUUGAUACUGAGGAUCUCGAGUCCGGGAGAGGUGAGUGGAACUCCGAGUGUAGAGGUGAAAUUCGUAGAUAUUCGGAAGAACACCAGUGGCGAAGGCGGCUCACUGGCCCGGUACUGACGCUGAUGUGCGAAAGCGUGGGGA
rnacentral:rRNA from 1 species